GAUGAACGCUGGCGGCGUGCCUAAUACAUGCAAGUCGAGUGAACAGACGAGGAGCUUGCUCCUCUGACGUUAGCGGCGGACGGGUGAGUAACACGUGGAUAACCUACCUAUAAGACUGGGAUAACUUCGGGAAACCGGAGCUAAUACCGGAUAAUAUAUUGAACCGCAUGGUUCAAUAGUGAAAGACGGUUUUGCUGUCACUUAUAGAUGGAUCCGCGCCGCAUUAGCUAGUUGGUAAGGUAACGGCUUACCAAGGCAACGAUGCGUAGCCGACCUGAGAGGGUGAUCGGCCACACUGGAACUGAGACACGGUCCAGACUCCUACGGGAGGCAGCAGUAGGGAAUCUUCCGCAAUGGGCGAAAGCCUGACGGAGCAACGCCGCGUGAGUGAUGAAGGUCUUCGGAUCGUAAAACUCUGUUAUUAGGGAAGAACAAAUGUGUAAGUAGCUAUGCACGUCUUGACGGUACCUAAUCAGAAAGCCACGGCUAACUACGUG
rnacentral:rRNA from 1 species